rnacentral:rRNA from 1 species
AACGCGAAGAACCUUACCUGGCCUUGACAUCCAGAGAACUUUCCAGAGAUGGAUUGGCGCCUUCGGGAACUCUGGGACAGGUGCUGCAUGGCCGUCGUCAGCUCGUGUCGUGAGAUGUUGGGUUAAGUCCCGUAACGAGCGCAACCCCUAUCCCUGGUUGCUAGCAGGUAAUGCUGAGAACUCCAGGGAGACUGCCGGUGACAAACCGGAGGAAGGUGGGGAUGACGUCAGGUCAUCAUGGCCCUUACGGCCAGGGCUACACACGUGCUACAAUGGCGCGUACAGAGGGCUGCCAACUCGCGAGAGUGAGCCAAUCCCUUAAAACGCGUCGUAGUCCGGAUCGGAGUCUGCAACUCGACUCCGUGAAGUCGGAAUCGCUAGUAAUCGCGAAUCAGAAUGUCGCGGUGAAUACGUUCCCGGGUCUUGUACACACCG